rnacentral:rRNA from 1 species
UUAAAAUUAAGUAUUAAUAAAAUAAUUUUGUAUGCUUAAUAAAAAUGAAAUGAAGUGAGAAUAUAGUAAAUUUGUUUAUUUAACUGUGGGGUUGUUUAAGGUAAUUUUUUUUAAGCCUAAUUAAAUUUUGGUACUUUUUGUAUAACGGCUUUGUAAUAUAUUCUUUGAGUUAAAUUUCUCGAAAUUUAUUGAGCUGGGUUAAGUUUGUUAAGAACUGUGGUAUAUUAUGUUUCAAAAUAAUUAAAAAAACUUAAUUCAGGGGCUACAUACCAUUCGCAAUAAAAUAUAGCUAGUUUUUUGUGAUUAUAUAUUAAUGUGAAAAACUUUUGUUUUAUAAAGUUUUUUUGAAUAUUAGGGGAAAGCUCUAAUUUUUAUUUUAAAUAAAAAUUAAAUAUGAAGUUAAAAGUAGGUUUUAUAGCGGCCUUCUUAUUGUUAGCGCGUUAUAGCUUUUAUAUUAGUAAAAUAGAAUAUUUAAAUUUAAAUAAGAAAUUAAAUUAAUUAACAUAAAGAAUUUAAAAAUUUUGAGUGGGUUUUUUUACUGCUAAGAUAAGUAUUAUUAAAAUUUAAAUUUAAAAAGUUUUAGGAUGAUUAGUUAAAGUGAAAAUAAUAAUAAAAUGAGAUAAAGGAAUUCGGCAAAUUUUAACUUCGACUGUUUAACAAAAACAUUGCUUUAUGAAAAUAAAAUGUAAGGUUUACUCUGCCCGGUGACUUUUGGGUUAAACGGCCGCGGUAUCCUGACUGUGCUAAGGUAGCGUGAUAAUUCGUCCUUUAAUUGUGGGCUUGAACGAAUGGGUUAACGAGGGUUAUGCUGUCUCUAUUUUAGAAGUAGAAAUUGGUAUUCAGGUGAAAAAACCUGAAUCUUUUUGUAAGACAAAAAGACCCCAUAGAGCUCUGUUAAAGUUUUGUUUUGUUGAGGUUCCUGGUUUUAAUUAAAUUUCAAUUAAAUAAAAUAUAACUUAACUGGGGCGGUUGAGAAAAAUUAAAUCUUUUUUUAAAGUGAAAGGCUUUAAAGCUAGUUAUUGUAGUUGAUCCUUGUUGGAGCAAAUGAAAAGCUACCUUGGGGGUAACAGACUAAUUUUUUUUGAGAGUUCAAAUUGACGAAAAAGUUUGGCACAUCGAUGUUGGCUUAGGGUACCCAAAAAGUAGUAGCAGCUUUUAAUGGUAGGUUUGUUCAACCUUUAAAACCCUACAUGAGCUGAGUUCAGACCGGCGUAAGCUAGGUCAGUUUCUAUCUACAUUAAGAUAAAUUAGUAUGUUUUAUUUGUACGAAAGGACUUUGUUUCAGUAUUAAAUAUUUAGAAUUUUGAAUAAAAAUAAAAAUGUUUAAGAAAAAUCUUU